AACGCGAAGAACCUUACCUGGGCUCGAAAUGCAGGAGACCGGGGUAGAAAUAUCCCUUUCUCGCAAGAGACUGCUGUAUAGGUGCUGCAUGGCUGUCGUCAGCUCGUGUCGUGAGAUGUUGGGUUAAGUCCCGCAACGAGCGCAACCCUUGCUGUUAGUUGCCAUCGGGUCAUGCCGGGCACUCUAACGGGACUGCCGGUGUUAAACCGGAGGAAGGUGGGGAUGACGUCAAGUCCUCAUGGCCUUUAUGUCUGGGGCUACACACGUGCUACAAUGGCAACUACAAACUGAUGCGAACUCGUGAGGGGAAGCAAAUCGGAAAAAAGUUGUCUCAGUUCGGAUCGGAGUCUGCAACUCGACUUCGUGAAGUCGGAAUCGCUAGUAAUCGUGGAUCAGCAUGCCACGGUGAAUACGUUCCCGGGCCUUGUACACACCGACUGUAC
rnacentral:rRNA from 1 species